AAACCCUAAUUUCUAAUAGAAACAACCCAUCCAAAUCCUUGCCCGACAAUGGUUGUCACUGAGUAGUAUCUGCACUUGGGCCUUGUAACUGAAUUUGCUUGCCUUCUUGGUUGAAUUGCAUGGUCUUUUCCUUCGAGUGCAUACUCAUCGGGCUGUGUUGAGCUAGCCAAUCAAUGCCCAGAGUCAUGUCACAGCAACCCAGGGGAGGAACCUUGAGGUUGGUG
rnacentral:lncRNA from 1 species